rnacentral:rRNA from 1 species
GCAUAUCAAUAAGCGGAGGAAAAGAAACUAACAAGGAUUCCCCUAGUAACGGCGAGUGAAGCGGGAUGAGCUCAAAUUUAAAAUCUGGCGGCCUCAGGUCGUCCGAGUUGUAGUCUAGAGAAUCGUUUUCCGCGUUGGCCUGUGUACAAGUCCCUUGGAACAGGGCGUCAUAGAGGGUGAGAAUCCCGUCCUUGACACAGACUACCAAUGCUUUGUGAUGCGAUCUCGAAGAGUCGAGUUGUUUGGGAAUGCAGCUCAAAAUGGGUGGUAAAUUCCAUCUAAAGCUAAAUAUUGGCGAGAGACCGAUAGCGAACAAGUACCGUGAGGGAAAGAUGAAAAGCACUUUGGAAAGAGAGUUAAACAGUACGUGAAAUUGUUAAAAGGGAAACGAUUGAAGUCAGUCAUGCUUUCCGAGACUCAGCCGAUUCUGUCGGUGUACUUCUCGGUUGGCAGGCCAGCAUCAGUUUCGAUCUGUGGAAAAGGUUGGAGGGAACGUGGCAUCCUCGGAUGUGUUAUAGCCCUUCUUCGAAUACAUAGAGCGGGACUGAGGAACGCAGCGCGCCUUUUAUUAGGUUGGCCCUCGGGUACAUACGCGCUUAGGAUGCUGGCAUAAUGGCUUUAAACGACCCGUCUUGA